rnacentral:lncRNA from 1 species
CAGAACUGGCCCCUUCCUCUCCCUGCGUCCGGCAGCUCCGGCUCCGACCUUUCCGGGGUCACCGUGGUGACAUCAGGGGCCAAGGUCCAGGCGGGGCAGCACCCGCGGCUGGGGACAGCCGGGACAGCCCGAGUGACACCAUGAGGCUGUGGCUGCUCUGCGCUGUCACCGCCGCCGUGGCCGUGGCCGGAGCUGGCGCUGGGGCCGGAGCUGGAGCCGGAGCUGAGCACGGCGACUCCAGGAUGGUGGCACGCGGGAGAGAGGGCUGGCGGCGGCCGCACAGACCCUGCUCCGGCUGCUUCUCCGUGCUGAGCGAGGAGUCGCAGUCGAUGCCCUGGAAUUCCCGUGAAGAGGAUGCGGCUCAGCCGGGCAGGCGGGCGCGGAGCAGGAAGGGUCCUGGAGGUACUAGGAAAGCGUGCCCGGAUGGGGAUGGAGGUGGGAUGUACAUGGGAUGGGGAU